rnacentral:rRNA from 1 species
GAUGAACGCUGGCGGCGUGCCUAAUACAUGCAAGUCGAGCGAACAGACGAGGAGCUUGCUCCUCUGACGUUAGCGGCGGACGGGUGAGUAACACGUGGAUAACCUACCUAUAAGACUGGGAUAACUUCGGGAAACCGGAGCUAAUACCGGAUAAUAUAUUGAACCGCAUGGUUCAAUAGUGAAAGACGGUUUUGCUGUCACUUAUAGAUGGAUCCGCGCCGCAUUAGCUAGUUGGUAAGGUAACGGCUUACCAAGGCAACGAUGAGUAGCCGACCUGAGAGGGUGAUCGGCCACACUGGAACUGAGACACGGUCCAGACUCCUACGGGAGGCAGAAGUAGGGAAUCUUCCGCAAUGGGCGAAAGCCUGACGGAGCAACGCCGCGUGAGUGAUGAAGGUCUUCGGAUAGUAAAACUCUGUUAUUAGGGAAGAACAAAUGUGUAAGUAACUAUGCACGUCUUGACGGUACCUAAUCAGAAAGCCACGGCUAACUACGUG